rnacentral:tRNA from 1 species
GGAGGAGUGGCCGAGUGGUCGAAGGCGGCGGUCUUGAAAACCGUUGGGUCGAAAGGCCCCGGGGGUUCGAAUCCCUCCUCCUCCG